GGCAGGGCUGGAACGGGAGUUCAGGGGGGACGAGGACGUGGAAGGAGUCCAGCUGAGGGCACCUGGGACCCCCGCGGCCAGGCCGAGUUUGGCGGGAGCCCCUCUUCCCCUUCCCCUGGCGGAGCCCGCCCCCCGUAGGGUCUGACCCGGUGCCCCGCAACAGGCGCUUGAGGAGGAGCAGGCCCAGAGCGGCCGGGCCUCAGCUAGGGGGGCGCUCGAGGGGAACCGAGUGAAGUGAGGGCUCCGCCACAGCAGUAUCCCCUUCCCCGCCGCCCUUCCCGGACUAGCCGGACCUCGUCAGAGAUUCCUUUGUCUUCGGCGCUGGCCCCUUCACACCAAGAUGAAGAAAUUGAGAAACAGAGAGUAUGAUGAUUUGCUUAAGACCAGAUGAUGAUUAUCUGCAGAAUGAAGACAAUCCUGACCUCCAUCAGUGGAUCUCUUUGCCAUCUCUACAGUCUCCACAUUGGAUGGACACAGACACAUGACAGAUGCACACAUAAGUGCAAAACACUUGUACAGAACAUUCCUCCACCUCCACCUCACUACUAAGCAAUCCCAAGACAGCAUUGCCCUUCUCUGGACCCAGCCACUCAGUCAACACAUAUUUAUGAGCAUUAUGCUAGGCACUGGUAACAAAAUAAUGAACACCAGAAGACACAGUUCCUGAGUCUCAAAGAGAUGACCCAGGAUCAUUCAGAGUCUAGGAUGAAACAGGGAUAAGGUGGGCGUGAGGAUGGUAAGAGCAGCGUUGGGGAAGUACAGGAUAAAAUGAGAACACACACCAAGGGCACCUAACUCUUUUUCUGAAGGACCAGGAAAGGCAUCCUGGUGGAUGAGACACCUGAGCUGAAAUGCAAAAGAUGAGUUGGAGUUGGCAAGGCCCAAGGUGAGGCUAAAAAGAGAGUUGAGGAGAGUGUUCCAAACAGAGGAAGGAGCAGAAACUUGGAGGCAAGAACAGCAUGGCACUUUUGAGGAACUGUAAGAGGUAGAGUGUGGCCAGGGAUAAUGCUCUGGUCUGGAGAUGUGUCCAUUGGGGCUGCAAAGGAAGCAGGUGUCUGUGUGUGAAAGCAGUAAACCUUGGUGUUGAUGGAGUUGGUGUUUGUCUUGCAGGCAUUGGAAAGCCAUUGACGGAUUUAGUGAGCGCCACUGGUGACAAGCUGUUAUCAAGACAUUCUCUUUUUGCCCACUAUAAGAAUCCAUGGGUAUAAAUGUUUUCUGAUCCUACCUUAAGAUAUACUCUGGUUACAGCAUCUGCAAAAAUAUAGAUACUCAACUUCAGGAUAUGUUUUCAGUUUAGGCUGCCACCUCCAUUUCACUGGGUCUCUGUGAUCUGUGCCAGGUUGGCCUGGAUAACCACUGUGACCAAGAUGCAUGGAUAUGCCAGUUUGUGGGCCAGACAGCUUCUAAGUCUUCCCUGGUCUCAGCCUCAGCUUUACUCCAGGGUCUAAACUCCAGCUGUCCAGCUGACAGAAUAUCAACUGACCAGACAAAAUCCCUCACGAAUACUGGAAAACAAGUUUAAACUAUAAUUAGAACUAUGUGGGCUAGUAAAUUCUACCCUCAUUCCUUCAGCAAAGGGAAGCCAUUAUUGAUAUUUAACAAGUUAUAGACAAUAGAAAUUAUCAAUGAAAAUGAUACGUGGCUCAUAUAUUCAAUAGAUAAGUGAUCAAUGUUUAGAUAAUAAAUGAAGUAUUACAGGAACUUGUAAAAGGAGAAAGUUUCAUACACAAAGAAAUGGCAAAAUAAAUUAUGAUUUUAAAAAUAAAA